UGCACUGAUGCUAAAGUAGUCGAUGAACAGGCUUUAAUUGAGGGAGCAAUGUCAAUAUUGCUUACCGCCCAGGGAGGAGCCAACCUGAAUCACGACGUCG
rfam:Firmicutes bacterium ML8_F2 scaffold_4, whole genome shotgun sequence.